rnacentral:lncRNA from 1 species
AUGCUCGUCUUGUGGGUCAUGGUCCUACUAAGGCACUUUUUGAUAGCGCUAGAAUUUCUGAUUUGUUGGAAGUCUCUAUUCGCCCCCCUACUUUUGAUUCAGCGCUUUUUCCGAUUGCUUUGAGCUUUUGGUCCUCUGAGUAUAACACCUUUAUUUUUCCUCUUGGCCCCAUGUCUAUUACGUUAAGGGAUGUUGGGGCCCUGGUAAAUUUACC